GCUCCGAUGGCCUAGUGGUCAAAGCGUUCGCCUUAGAUGAUGGAGGUAGUGGGUUCGAUCCCCGGUCGAGUCA